rnacentral:rRNA from 1 species
AUUGAACGCUGGCGGCAGGCCUAACACAUGCAAGUCGAGCGGAGCGGGGGACGGGUGAGUAAGGCAUAGGAAUCUGACCGGCAGUGGGGGAUAGGGUACGGAACCGGGCGCUGAUACAGCAUACUAUCAGAUGAGACUAGGUCGGAUUAGCUAGUUGGAGUGGUAAAGGCCUAACAAGGCGACGUUCCGUAACUGGUCUGAGAGGAUGAUCAGUCACACUGGAACUGAGACACGGUCCAGACUCCUACGGGAGGCAGCAGUGGGGAAUAUUGGACAAUGGGCGAAAGCCUGACCCAGCCAUGCCGCGUGUGUGAAGAAGGUCUUCGGAUUGUAAAGCACUUUAAGUUGGGAGGCGUUACCAACAGAAUAAGCACCGGCUAACUUCGUGCCAGCAGCCGCGGUAAUAC